UACGGAGGGUGCGAGCGUUGUCCGGAAUCACUGGGCGUAAAGGGCGCGUAGGCGGCUCGGAAAGUCGUCGGUGAAAGCUCGGGGCUCAACCCUGAGUCUGCCGGUGAUACUCCCGCGCUCGAGCUCACUAGAGGCAGAUGGAAUUCCGGGUGUAGCGGUGGAAUGCGUAGAGAUCCGGAAGAACACCGGUGGCGAAGGCGGUCUGCUGGGGUGAGGCUGACGCUGAUGCGCGACAGCGUGGGGAGCAAACAGG
rnacentral:rRNA from 1 species